UGCCCUGAAGACAGACUUUGUGCUCCCUGC
rnacentral:piRNA from 1 species